AACGAACGCUGGCGGCAUGCCUAAUACAUGCAAGUCGAACGAGACCUUCGGAUCUAGUGGCGCACGGGUGCGUAACGCGUGGGAAUCUGCCCUUGGGUUCGGAAUAACUUCGGGAAACUGAAGCUAAUACCGGAUGAUGACGUAAGUCCAAAGAUUUAUCGCCCAAGGAUGAGCCCGCGUAGGAUUAGCUAGUUGGUAAGGUAAAGGCUUACCAAGGCGACGAUCCUUAGCUGGUCUGAGAGGAUGAUCAGCCACGCUGGGACUGAGACACGGCCCAGACUCCUACGGGAGGCAGCAGUAGGGAAUAUUGGACAAUGGGGGCAACCCUGACCCAGCAAUGCCGCGUGAGUGAUGAAGGCCUUAGGGUUGUAAAGCUCUUUUACCCGGGAUGAUAAUGACAGUACCGGGAGAAUAAGCCCCGGCUAACUCCGUGCCAGCCGCCGCGGUAA
rnacentral:rRNA from 1 species